rnacentral:rRNA from 1 species
AUUGAACGCUGGCGGCAUGCUUUACACAUGCAAGUCGAACGGUAACAGGCCGCAAGGUGCUGACGAGUGGCGAACGGGUGAGUAAUGCAUCGGAACGUGCCCAGUCGUGGGGGAUAACGCAGCGAAAGCUGCGCUAAUACCGCAUACGAUCUAUGGAUGAAAGCGGGGGACCGUAAGGCCUCGCGCGAUUGGAGCGGCCGAUGUCAGAUUAGGUAGUUGGUGGGGUAAAGGCUCACAAAGCCAACGAUCUGUAGCUGGUCUGAGAGGACGACCCGCCACACUGGGACUGGGACACGGUCCAGACUCCUACGGGCAGCAGCAGUGGGGAAUUUUGGACAAGGGGCGCAAGCCUUAUCCAGCAAUGCUGCGUGCAGGAAGAAGGCCUUCGGGUUGUAAACUGCUUUUGUACGGAACUAAACGGUCUGGGUUAAUACCCUGGGCUAAUGACGGUACCGUAAGAAUAAGCACCGGCUAACUACGUGCCAGCCGCCGCCGUAAUAC